GACUUAGGCCCAGGCAACACUUCUCAGCCGUGACUGCUUGUUGGAAUCAUCUGGGGAGCUUGCAAUACCGAAGCCUGGGUCCCGCCUUCAGGGAUUCUGAUUUCAUUGGUGUGGGGAUACAUCCUGGGCAUCAGGCUCUUAAAACUUGCCAGGUGUGAGGGAUAUGGGAAGGUAAUAAAAGCCAUUAUAGUCAGAGCCCUUCCUAGCUCUUUCGGAUUCUGAAGUUUGGAGUUUGGCUCCACCUUGCUCUGUGUGAGACAGCGUCUAAUCUCAGAGAGAUGGCUCCCUGGGAGGCUGGCUGCAUUUAGAACUUCAUCCAAGCUGCUUUCUGGGAUAAAAUGAAGUCUGUGAAGCAUCACCUGGGAUUUUAUUCCAAGUUUUACAUUCGUUUGCAGAAUGAAGAUUUGUUUCGCACACUGCUGGGGACCCACUGAGGAAUUCCAGCUAUGCCGUGCACACGCACAGUGGGAGAUGGCGACCCCCCAGAGCCGGACUUGGCAGCUCAGCUCCUCCGUUGAAUGUUAAAUCAGUCCCCAGGAAACACUAGCAAAGCACUAAUUUUGGUAACCCUUGGCUGCACAGAAGCAACUGUGCAUAAUAAUGGCCCUCUAGGGAAUUGUAUCCACUCACUUGUUUCCUUUUCAUCUUGUUAAUUGUCUCCUUUGCCAUAUUGAAGGAAGACCAAAGUCAAGGAGCUUACCACCUGAUUUCCAGUAGGAAUUUUACGGUUUCAGUCUUAUGGUCCAGUUUUAUUCUUUUGCGUGGAACGGUUCAGUUUUCCCAAUACUAUUUAUAGAAGACACUGUCCUUUCCCCCCUGUAUACUCUUGUCUCCAUUGCCCUAAAUAAAUUGGCCAUAUACACCUGG
ensembl:lncRNA